rnacentral:rRNA from 1 species
AUUGAACGCUGGCGGCAGGCCUAACACAUGCAAGUCGAACGAGUGGCGGACGGGUGAGUAAUGUCUGGGAAACUGCCUGAUGGAGGGGGAUAACUACUGGAAACGGUAGCUAAUACCGCAUACCAUCAGAUGUGCCCAGAUGGGAUUAUCUUGUUGGUGGGGUAACGGCUCACCAAGGCGACGAUCCCUAGCUGGUGUGUGAGGAUGACCAGCAACACUGGAACUGUGACACGGUCCAGAUUCCUCCGGGACGCAGCAGGGGGGAAUAUUGCACAAGGGGCGACAGCCUGAUGCAGCCAUGCCGCGUGUAUGAAGAAGGCCUUCGGGGUGUAAAGUACUUUCAGCGGGGAGGCGUUACCCGCAGAAGAAGCACCGGCUAACUCCGUGCCAGCAGCCGCGGUAAUAC